CAGAAAAUAGUUUAGUUUAGAAUC
rnacentral:tRNA from 1 species